UACGUAGGGUGCGAGCGUUAAUCGGAAUUACUGGGCGUAAAGCGUGCGCAGGCGGUGAUGUAAGACCGAUGUGAAAUCCCCGGGCUUAACCUGGGAACUGCAUUGGUGACUGCAUUGCUGGAGUAUGGCAGAGGGGGGUGGAAUUCCACGUGUAGCAGUGAAAUGCGUAGAUAUCUGGAGGAACACCGGUGGCGAAGGCGGCAUCCUGGACCGGCAUUGACGCUGAGGCGCGAAAGCCAGGGGAGCAAACGGG
rnacentral:rRNA from 1 species